rnacentral:lncRNA from 1 species
UUCUAGUUUGCUCUUGAGAUUAAUGUAGUGCAAACGUAACCAAAAGAGUUUGAGAGAUAUAAAUUACUAUAAACUAAACAAUGCAGAAAAUUAAAUUGCUUGGACGAUCAAUAAAGAUAAACCCAGGGUUAAAUCUAUGUGAACAAUCAUACUAAGGAAUUGAAAUUCAAUGCUUAGAUUACUUAUCUCGGUUGUUGAUUAACAGAUUUAUAGUAUGAUCAUGG